CCUACGGGAGGCAGCAGUGGGGAAUAUUGCUCAAUGGAGGAAACUCUGAACCAGCAAAGCCGCGUGGAGGAUGAAGGUAUUCGGAUUGGAAACCCCUUUUGUUAGAGAAGAUAAUGACGGUAUCUAACGAAUAAGCACCGGCUAACUCCGUGCCAGAAGCCGCGGUAAUACGGAGGGUGCAUGCGUUACUCGGAAUCACUGGGCGUAAAGAGCGCGUAGGCGGGAUAGCAAGUCAGAUGUGAAAUCCUAUGGCUUAACCGUAGAACUGCAUGUGAAACUGUUAUUCUAGAGUAGGGGAGAGGUAGGUGGAAUUCUUGGUGUAGGGGUAAAAUGCGUAGAGAUCACGAGGAAUACUCAUUGCGAAGGCGACCUGCUAGAACAUAACUGACGCUGAUGCGCGAAAGCGUGGGGAGCGAACAGGAUUAGAUACCCCAGUAGUC
rnacentral:rRNA from 1 species